CUGAGGAAGGAAGGAAACAGGAUGGAGCCAGGAGGAGACCUGGAGGAGGCACAUGGAGCCGAGAGACACGUGAAGAAACUGCGUUUGUCUUUUGCUCGUGGACGGGGUGACACAGAUGUUGUGGGGUAUUAUUGCAGCUUCAGAAGUGUUGCAGAAUUUGUAAGAGAGCCUUUGAGAAAAGGACACAAGCCUCAAAAGUCCUCAAUGAUUUGCUUGCUCCCUUUAAGACCUUCAGAAACUCUUGAGGCCAAGAAGUUAGAAGUUGCCUUCUGACCUUGCAGAAUUCCAAGCACACAGCUCAGUCUUGGGUUCCCAGCUCUUGUGGACACUGAGGAGGUGACCCGUGUUCCCAGUGUGCCAGUUGACAGCCCAGUGAUGGCUGGAGAACACUCUGGAGGCCCCAAGAGUCAUCUGUCAUGUGAGCUCAACGGCCAGCUAACCCCACUUGAUGGGACGGGGCUGGAGGCGACUGAGGGCUGCCGGGCCUCUGCCCCCUGGGAAGGAACACAGAGCGUCUCUUGAGAGGUUCAGAGCCCCUUCUUUCCACUGGGCUUCCCCACAUUUAUCUUGCAUGACUCUCCAAGCUGGAAUUUGACCUGUGAAGCCCUGAUUCCUUUUCCAUGUGAUUCUUCUGAGCUAUGGCUUCCACAUUGCAUUGCCAAGGCCAAUCAUACUGUUGUACGACUGUAACAGAGAUGCCCCAGGAACAAAAUCGAAUGGCAGCUGCUUACUAAAGCAGCUGGGGGAUGGAACUGAAUUCAAUGAAACUGAUUGUGGUCAGCCCAGCUCUCUCACCUCGCCAAGGCUAAAGGUGAGCUGUGGAAGUUCAAUGGUGAGCUCUGGUUCCCAGAAGCAGCUAGUUGUAGCAAUGAUCCUGGGGUCCAGAUCUCCUGCUUAUCCUUUUCUUAGAAUGGACUUCCCAUCUGUUUUACACGCAUAGUCAAGAGGGAAAGACGAUUCUUGUUCCAACACAUAUGCCUGCAGAGUUUCUGAGCAAAGUACCAGUGCUCUGCUGUGUCCCAGAGACUCAGAUGUCACAGUUUUCAGACAAAGGAGAUAAUGAUGAGGAUUACGUGUUGUGCUGGGAAGAUGUUUUCUCAUCUUAAAAAGCAAAACAAGAGGAAAAGCUGUCUCCCCCCCUGCACCCCUCUCUUGCCUUGGAGUUUGGACUGGGCUUAGGAAGUCACUUCUAAAGAACAGAGUCUGGUGAAGGAAGAGCAAAAACUUCACAGGGAACGAAAUAUUAACUAAAGCAGCUAUCAUCAGUGUUACGGUGUGGCCACAUGACUGCCUGAUAUGAGAAGGAUGCCUUUGUGCUAUUGUCUUCCCAAACCCACAGCCCUGGCUAACCACAAGGAAAACUCAGACUGGGGCUGCUCUGCAGCUCCCUGGUCAGUACCCACCCCCUGGCCAGUACACAAUAAUGGAAACAAGAAAGACCAACCAGAAGCUACCAGGGAGAUCCAACAGUUACACGCAAGGUACCACCCUGGGUUGGAUCUUGGGACUGACAACAGUUCAAAUAAAUUCUGGAAGUUAGUUAACAGUAAUGUACCGAAUUUUAAUGUAAAU